UAAUACGUAGGGAGCAAGCGUUGUCCGGAAUCAUUGGGCGUAAAGCGCGCGUAGGUGGCCCUGUAAGUCCGCUCUGAAAGUCGAAGGCUCAACCUUCGAAAGCGGGUGGAUACUGCAGGGCUAGAGUCCGGAAGAGGCGAGUGGAAUUCCUGGUGUAGCGGUGGAAUGCGCAGAUAUCAGGAGGAACACCAACGGCGAAGGCAGCUCGCUGGGAC
rnacentral:rRNA from 1 species